CCUGGGUGCCAGCCACUAAGAGAAGCAAAUAAGUGGUGGAAAAAUGGAAAAGAAAGAGAAACCGGAGGAUGUGGGCACAACAAAGAGAGGCAGAAUUGGAGACAUGAGGGUAGUGAGGAAUAGCCCGGUGUAAAUAGCAGGUGAUGUUACCUGGGACCAUGCUACCAUUGGGGCCUAUGACUGGGUCCAUGGCCCUGCGGCAGCAGAUGUCUGUUAGCUCCAAAGGCCAGGCAGAUGUCCCUGCUCUGGGCUGCUCACCAGGGACAUGUUGAUGUCUGAGUGCUGUGAAGAACCGGCCCUGCCCCUCACUUGGGCAUCAUGGAAGAGCUGGUCCUGUGACAUGGAAGCAGGAAAGCUGACUUCAUCCCCUAGUCUGCUGCAAUACUCAGGAGAGAGGCCCACACUUUGCCCAGGAAGCACAGUAGAGCUGGCCCCGGUUGUGCGGGUUUGGGGGUCAUGAGAGCAGGAGGGCUGACCCUGCCAGGGUCAGGAGAGCUGGCCCUGCCCCUCACCAGCUGCACACUGGCUGCACCUCACCUGGACGUCACAGAAGAACCGACCUCCUCGGAUGUGAGGAUUACAGAUGGAGGCGGGUCCCAAGAUGGAGUAGGUUUGGCCUCUCAUUCUCCUCCUUUCUCUGCACAUCUGUUGGAACCUACUUCUUCAGGACUCCAGCUUACACAGAAGGCCAACUGAAGUACCUAAUUUUGUGGAACUGAGCAACUUCUAGAUUCUUGGACUUCCAAUUCACAGCUGCCCAUUGUUGGGUUAGUUGAACGGCAAACUGGUCUUGCUGUGUGAUCUAGGUUAACCUGAAACUUGCUAUAAAGCCCAGGAUGGCCCAGAAUUUGAGAAGCCCAUGCCUCAUCUUGCUCAGUGCUGGGAUCACUGGUGAGCGUCACCAGCUGGCAGACUGUUUAAAACUCCCCCUCGGCGUGUUUGAUCCUCAUCCCAGUUAGGCCAGUGCCUAACUCACUCCCAAGCUACCAACCAUAAAACCCGCAUGGCCAACAUGAGACCCAAAUAAAUUAUGCUCUCCUCCA